rnacentral:lncRNA from 1 species
CUGGUAUUCAACAUUGUACUAGAAAUUCUAGCCAGAGUAAUUAGGCAGGAAAAAGAAAUAAAAGGUGUCCAACGUGCAAAGGAUGUAAAACUCUCUAUUCACAAAUGACAUAAUCCUAUAUAUAAAAACAUUGCUGAAAGAAAUUAAAACCUAAUAAAUUGGGAAGACAUCCUGUGUUAUGAAUUGGAAGACAAUUUUCUUAAGAUGUCAACUUUUUUUUUCUUUUUUCUUUUUUUCUUUUUAUUUAUUUAUUUAUUUUGAGACAGAGUCUAGCUCUGUCACCCAGGCUGGAGCACAGUGGUCCAAUCUCAGCUUGCUGUAACUUCUGCCUCCCAGGUUCAAGAGACUCUCAUGCCUCAGCCUCCCGAGGAGCUGGGAUUACAGGCAUGUACCACCACACCCACACCCAGCUAAUUUUUGUAUUUCUAAUAGAGACGGGUGCCAUGUUGGCCAGGCUGGUCUUGAACUCCUGACCUCAAGUGAUCUGCCCAUUUUGGGCUCUCAAAGUGCUGGGAUUAUAGGCAUGAGCAACCAGGCCCAGUCUUUUUUUUUUUCUUAAGAUGUUAGUUUGGGCAAAUAGCCAACAAGCCCCUUGAAAAGAUGCUCAACAUCAUUAAUCAUUAUUCAAAUAUAAAUCAAAACCACAAUGAAGUACCACUUUCUUCCCACUAGUAUGCCUAAAAAAACAGGCUUUCAAACAAGUAUUUGUACAUACAUAUUAAUAGCAGCAUUAUUCACAAGUGAAAAGGUGAAAUUUAUUUUGGAGUAAUAAAAAUAUAUUGGAAUUAUACAGAGGUGAUGGUGGUAUACCAUUUUGAUUGUCUUCAAUGCCAUUGAGUUGCCAUUAAAAUGGUUAAUUUCAUGGUAUGUGAAUUUCACCUUCAUACAGUUUUUAAAAGAAUUAGAUGUUUCAUAAAAGGAGCCCAUGACCUGAAUAUCAUGCUGAGCAGCUGGCCAUAUGGAAAUUAAAAAGUUUACCAUCGAGGUUCCUGAGUUCUUUAAGUAACCACAGGACCUCAAAGACUCU